rnacentral:rRNA from 1 species
CCUACGGGAGGCAGCAGUGAGGAAUAUUGGUCAAUGGACGAGAGUCUGAACCAGCCAAGUAGCGUGAAGGAUGACUGCCCUAUGGGUUGUAAACUUCUUUUAUAAAGGAAUAAAACGAGGCACGUGUGCCUUUUUGCAUGUACUUUAUGAAUAAGGAUCGGCUAACUCCGUGCCAGCAGCCGCGGUAAUACGGAGGAUCCGAGCGUUAGCCGGAUUUAUUGGGUUUAAAGGGAGCGUAGAUGGGAUGUUAAGUCAGUUGUGAAAGUUUUCGGCUCAACCGUAAAAUUGCAAUUGAUACUGGCAGUCUUGAGUACAGUUGAGGUAGGCGGAAUUCGUGGUGUAGCGGUGAAAUGCUUAGAUAUCACGAAGAACCCCGAUUGCGAAGGCAGCUUACGAAACUGUGACUGACAUUGAUGCUCGAAAGUGUGGGUAUCAAACAGGAUUAGAUACCCUUGUAGUC